GCCUGUGUAGCCCAACCGGUAGAGGCACCACAUUCAGGAUGUGGGGGUUGGGGGUUCGAAUCCCUCCUCAGGCA
rnacentral:tRNA from 1 species